rnacentral:rRNA from 1 species
GACGAACGCUGGCGGCGUGCUUAACACUUGCAAGUCGAACGGAAAGGCCCUGCUUUUGUGGGGUGCUCGAGUGGCGAACGGGUGAGUAACACGUGAGUAACCUGCCCUUGACUUUGGGAUAACUUCAGGAAACUGGGGCUAAUACCGGAUAGGAGCUCCUGCUGCAUGGUGGGGGUUGGAAAGUUUCGGCGGUUGGGGAUGGACUCGCGGCUUAUCAGCUUGUUGGUGGGGUAGUGGCUUACCAAGGCUUUGACGGGUAGCCGGCCUGAGAGGGUGACCGGCCACAUUGGGACUGAGAUGCGGCCCAGACUCCUACGGGAGGCAGCAGUGGGGAAUAUUGCACAAUGGGCGGAAGCCUGAUGCAGCAACGCCGCGUGCGGGAUGACGGCCUUCGGGUUGUAAACCGCUUUCGCCUGUGACGAAGCGUGAGUGACGGUAAUGGGUAAAGAAGCACCGGCUAACUACGUG